AUUGAUGCGGCACGUAAAUUCUCGGACAUGCACCAGAAUGAUCAGGUACUCUACAUAAAAUCCCUUCGCAUAUUACGAAUCUGUUAAUUUCGUAUUUGGUAAAAUUCGUAUUAGCGUGCGACGGUUUCUUAUACAUUUUGUACCACAUCCGGCUAUCAACACACUGUUGUUGAGUUUCGCGCCAAAAUUGCGGAUCACGGAAUCUUUUUCUCUGAAGGAAACAGCUGUUUAUCCUGUGGCCUAUCCAUCGGCGUCAUCCACCUCUUCAACUCUGGAUUGCGUGCCAUAUAAGACGGAUAGUCGUGGAUUUCAUCGACGUCUCUGCGGUCGCGCUCAACCGGUAUAACAUUAAGCAAUUUGUUAUCCAUGCUAAGACAUUCAACAACCUUCGCUGAUUUCCCUAAAACGCCCAUAUAAAGAUACUUCGCCGCAGGAUGCUGCUUCAGCACUGCGUCCACCGAGGAAAUCUGAAUGGGAAGUUGCAAGGGAUCGUCACCCCCACGAACUUGACUGGAGCCAAAGUUAGGCACGGGACUAAUCGAUGUCGGAGACGAGGACGAACAGGUUCAUCCGCGACGGAAGCUGCUCUUGGGAGAUAUUGACGAAUCAUCUCCUGUACUACACUACGCACAAACUCUUCAUCGCGCUGAUCAGAUCCCUUUUUAAUCGGGGCUACGUGAACUAGUGUAGUUUCUUUAGCUUCCGUUUUCACCGGGGCAUCAACCACUUUUGUCACUGGUGGCGACGGGACUGGACGCGGCCACUCCUGCUUAGCCUUUUCGACACCAAUUCGUUCUGUUAACAUCAACGCGGGAAUUGCGGGUGACGGCUUAACUCCCACAGGAAUUAGCGGAUCAAAAUCGUGUGACCUAAUGACAUCCGACAUGAGCUAAAAAGUCUAAACCUAAAACAACGUGGUCCCUAUCGAAAGUGGAACUCACAAGCACUGCGUGCUCGAAAGCCAUCCCAAAUUCGUGGAUGGUGACC